rnacentral:miRNA from 1 species
GGGCUCACAUCACCCCAU